UACGUAGGGGGCAAGCGUUGUCCGGAUUUAUUGGGCGUAAAGAGCGUGUAGGCGGCCAGACAGGUCCGUUGUGAAAACUCGAGGCUCAACCUCGAGACGCCGGCUGAAACCAUCUGGCUAGAGUCCGGAAGAGGAGAAUGGAAUUCCUGGUGUAGCGGUGAAAUGCGCAGAUAUCAGGAAGAACACCCGUGGCGAAGGCGGUUCUCUGGGACGGUACUGACGCUGAGACGCGAAAGCGUGGGGAGCGAACAGG
rnacentral:rRNA from 1 species